rnacentral:rRNA from 1 species
UACAGAGGUCCCAAGCGUUGUUCGGAUUCACUGGGCGUAAAGGGUGCGUAGGUGGUGAGGUAAGUCGGAUGUGAAAGCUCGGAGCUCAACUCCGAAAUGGCAUUGGAAACUACCUUGCUAGAGGGUUGGAGGGGGGACUGGAAUACUUGGUGUAGCAGUGAAAUGCGUAGAUAUCGAGAAGAACGCUCGUGGCGAAAGCGAGAUCCUGGGCAGCCUCGUGACGCUGAGGCACGAAGGCCAGGGGAGCAAACGGG